CUGGUUGGAUCCUGCCAGUAGUCAUAUCGUCGUCUCAAAGAUUAAGCCAUGCACGUCUAAGUACAAACUUUAAUAAAGUGAAACCGCGAAUGGCUCAUUAAAUCAGCUAUGCUUCCUUAGAUCCAUAACAGUUGUCUAUUUGGAUAACUGUGGUAAUUCUAGAGCUAAUACAUGCCUCGAGUCCUGCACCUCACGGUGCGGGCGCACUUAUUAGUCCAAAACCAUCAGGGCUUGCCCUGUGGUGAUGGGAACUCUGGAUAAUUUUACCUGAUCGCAUGACCCGGCAACGGGUCGGCGACGGAUCUAUCAAAUGUCUGCCCUAUCAACUAGAUGGUAGGUUAAAAGCCUACCAUGGUUAUCACGUGGUAACGGGGAAUCAGGGUUCGAUUCCGGAGAGGAAGCCUGAGAAAUAGCUACCACAUCCAAGGAAGGCAGCAGGCGCGCAAAUUACCCACUCCCAGUGAUGGGGGAGGUAGUGACGAAAAAUAACGAUACGCGGCCUCUUAUGGGGUGCGCGUAAUUGGCAUGAGUACACUUUAAAUCCUUAACA
rnacentral:rRNA from 1 species